UGGCAACUACUAAAAAAGGCACAGGGAUGUUUUAUGAGUUGACAUGGAGGUUCUCCUAGUGGGAUCUCAUCCAAGUAUUAUGCAGACUUAGGACAGCUGGUGUAGGACAGGUGCAGUGGUGGGAUUCUGCUGGUUCAGACCAGUUCGAGCGAACUGGUUGCGCCAAUGAUCAAUUGGCCCUGUCCUAUCCUGUCCUUUAUUUCCUCCUUUGUAGCUCAUCUCAAUUGUGUGGCACGGCUGAUUUACACCCCCACUCACUGUUCUACUUACCAUUGCUGACUCAGAAGGUAAGCAGCUGAGCUUCUAAGUGCUCCAUUUUCCGCACUGCAUGUGCUUCCUGAACUGGUUGUUAAACCGGCAGCAUCCCACCACCGGCCAGGCAUUCUGGCUGCUCUGCUCAGCCCAUUGACUACGCUCUCUCUUUCAAAGGAGAACAUCUCUCUGGUCUUUGGAGGUCCACCCCUAGAGCCCCUGAGAUGGAUGGACAAGUGGAGGCCAGCAAGAUGGAGAAUUUCCUCCCUUUCUCCUGACCCCACUGAGCGGUGAUUUCCAGGAUGGCCAUGGGGAGGGGAGCACGGCCACCGUCCGGAUCAUCCGAACUACCCAGUACCAGCGGAGGCGAUGGAGACCUUACCGGUUGGGCAGCCUCUCCGCUCUGAGCCGAGGGCCGAUGAGGACCGUGAGUCCUCCACAAGAGAAGACAGAAGAAGAAGGCGCCCUCCCCCAGGCAAGAGAAGCUGGUGCCAGUGGACCCCCCCCUUCCCGGUGCAUUCUGGGACUCUGAUACCCCACUCCAAAGUAGAUAAAGAGUCUCUGGAAUCUUCCCUGUGGCGGCGUUAAGAAGAGACUCAUGUGGGAGUAAUUGUGGGAGUGGGCUGCGCUUGCCUGCUGGGUUUGGGAGGUCUCUGUCCAUUUUCGGGGAGACAGCCGGCCUCUUCCACCCAUGGCAUGAUGGGAGAUUUCCUCCAUGGCGGAAAUAUUUUAUUAAAUCAGUGUUUGGUCACUUUAAGAGAGGUGGACUUCAAUUCCCAGAAUCCUU